AUGCUUGCUUCGGCAGCACAUGUACUAAAAUUGGAACAAUACAGAGAUUAGCAUUGCCCCUGCACAGGAUGAUAGACAAAUUGAGGAAACAUUCCAUAAUUUU